UCGUGAUCAAGCUGGUAUGUUUUUGAAUCUGCGUCCGACGGACAAUUUUAUUUUGAUCUUUCCUUUUGCAGCAAUACCCGAGCAGGGGUAAAUAACACGGGAAUACCAAAUUUUGGUAUUACUUGGGCAAAUGACAGCGACCAAAAUGUGCCCUUGGUUGCCCAGUAAUAGAUGGUAAAAUACCAUGAAAUCAUACCAAAAGCUUGUAUGUGGAAGGGCACAACAAUACCAUACCAUGUUAUUCCAAAGGUAAAAUAAUACCACAAAAUAAAAUCAUUUCAAUACCAAGUUGAGGUCUUCUGGAUUUUUGAACAUUGCUUGAAUACCAAAACUUGGUAUUGUCAUGGUUUUAAUUUUAGGUAUUCCCGCGCCCUUGGAAAAUCAUAUUUUGGUAUUCCUGUGGUCUUCCACAAACAUGAUAUUGGUUUGAUUUCAUGGUAUUUUACCAUCUAUUACUGGGCAACCAAGAGCACAUUUUGGUCGCUGGUAUUUGCACAAGUAAUACCAAAAUUUGUUAUUUUCAUACCAUUUUUAGUGCAGCAGUUGCAGUUAGUGAAAAAAACGUAAAUGAUCCUUAUGCAACAACGAAAUCUACUCACCUGAUGAUUCCAUGUUGUUUUUAGUGAUAUUCUUCACCACACCGAAUGCAUUUGUCAUUGAUGAACGGCUGUACUUGAAGUUCUUGAAGCUUCUGAAAAUUAACAAGAUUGAAAAAUAAGUAUUAUUAAAAUGAAACUGGAUUGAAAUUCACCAAAAUUCAAUAAUCUGUUGAUUGACUCGUUUUUCAAAGUAUUUGGUUAUCCCAACUUAGAAAAAAUUCAACGUUUUUGAAAAAAAUAUUAGUGGGUACAUCACAAAAAAAAUUUAAAUCAGCUUUAACAUUUUUGGGUUUCAAGUCAAGUUAGCGCAAAAUUAAUUAUCUCGUCAAAAAUUUAAAAAAAUCCAUAGUUUCAGAGAAAAUUGAUGAAACCUUUCAAUACCAAAAUAAUACCAAAAUGUGGCAUCCUGACUUAGAAAUUUUUCCACAAUGUCAAGUCAUUUCUGUAGGGGGUAUAACAAAAAUGUUUAAAAUCAAGUUUGAAAUUUCCGGUUUUCAAUGAAAGCAUUCGCUUUGAGACCUCGUUUUAGCGCAAAAUUAAUUAUUUUGUCAAAAUUGGUCAAAAUUUUCCCAUAGUUUGAGAGGAAUUUGAUAAAACACUUUAAUACCAAAAUAAUACCAAAAUGUGCCAUCCUGACUUAGAAAAUUUUCCACAAUUUCAAGUCAUUUCUGUAGGGGGUAUAUCAAAAAUGUUUAAAAUCAAGUCUGAAAUUUUCGGUUUUCAAUGAAAGCAUUCGCUUUUAGACAUCAUUUUAGCGCAAAAUUAAUUAUUUUGUCAAAAUUGGUCAACAUUUUCCCAUAGUUUCAGAGGAAAUUGAUAAAACACCUUAAUACCAAAAUAAUACCAAAAUGUGCCAUCCUGACUUAGAAAAUUUUCCACAAUUUUAAGUCAUUUCUGUAGGGGGUAUAUCAAAAAUGUUUAAAAUCAAGUUUGAAAUUUCCGGUUUUCAAUGAAAGCAUUCGCUUUGAGACAUCAUUUUAGCGCAAAAUUAAUUAUUUUGUCAAAAUUGGUCAAAAUUUUCCCAUAGUUUCAGAGGAAUUUGAUAAAACACUUUAAUACUAAAAUAAUACCAAAAUGUGCCAUCCUGACUUAGAAAAUUUUCCACAAUUUUAAGUCAUUUCUGUAGGGGGUAUAUCAAAAAUGUUUAAAAUCAAGUUUGAAAUUUCCGGUUUUCAAUGAAAGCAUUCGCUUUGAGAAAUCAUUUUAGCGCAAAAUUAAUUAUUUUGUCAAAAUUGGUCAAAAUUUUCCCAUAGUUUCAGAGGAAUUUGGUAAAACACUUUAAUACCAAAAUAAUACCAAAAUGUGGUGUUCGACCAUUGACAAAUUCUGCAAUUUUGCAAUAUCAAAAUAAUACCUUAAAUUGGUAUGAUACCACAUUUUGCUCUUGCAUAAUCCUUAAGACAAAUUUUUAAGGGUCCAGGAAUACCAAAAUUUGGUAUUGAUACCAGAGAAAGGUAUUAUUACGCAUUUCCCUUGUUAUUUACCCAUGCUCGGGUAGUCGUAGUCGGCGAUCAGCACUUUGUCCUAGGGCGGUCCUGGAACGCCGGUAAAACCGUGAAAAGUUGGCGUCAAGUUACGGCCAACGUCUUGUCAAACAACGGCCUCCGCGUUGGAGGAAAUGUUCCGCAAAUCGAAUAGGAUCUGAAGAGCAUCUUUUCCAGCACGCCGAAUCCGACGGUCCGUCGGUCAGCUGGUUCAACACAGUCGAUCACAAGGGCCAACGAUCUCGAGGCGUCAUCACUGUAAAGACUGAACCUUCCCCCUCCGAACCAUUUGCAGCUGUCCUCCAAUCCGAGCGUCGCGUCCGCGACUAGCAGCUGCACCAGUGACAAAUCGUCCCCGAUACGAUCGACUUCGUUCAGUACGACGACCAGAGGUAGCGCCAUCAGUCACGACGAUCACCAGCUCUGCCGGAAGCGUUGGAGGAGUAAACAAUCCGUAUGCCCAACCGGGCUGUCCCAUCAAGGACGACGAAGAUUUGCUGGAUUCGUUCAAGUAGCCUGAGAACCGUUAGCGGCAGGAGAUUGAAAAGGACAAGAAGCUCUUGGAGCAAAAUGCGACGUGCAACAGCACCUGGAACAUGCGCCAGCUGCGGCAGCAGUACAAAAAUCCACACUGGGGCACCACAGCUGCUGAAUCCAUGCUACUGUCUGAGUGAUGAGUCCGACAGGGAUGAGGGCAAUUCGGUGCGGAUGAUGAAGGCGAAGAAGGUCAACUGGGGUGGAGCGACGACGACGAAUGCGGGUGGUAAAGUGACAUCGGUCAAUCCAGGGUUGGCGGCUGAGUCGAGCGAAAACAGCAACACAAGCUGUAUGAGUUCCAACACAAGCCUAAUUCCGCACUCAUUCUCCGUGGGGGAGAUCUGGAAGAUCCGCACCAACCUUAAGUCGUCCAAUCUACCUCAACGAUUUCCGGCAGCAAAAGGCAGCAGCAGGAAAACGCUGAUCGCGGUCGCGCCAGGGCAACAAAUGCUCCUCCAGCGUGAGCAGAGACCAGGAGAUUACGGCCACUUGCAACGAGACGCCCAAGCCGGCCGCUGGAGCUGAAAAAGAUGGUGCUGUUGAUUACGCCGAUGGUACCGGUACAGCUGCCGGAGGUUCGGAGUGACGAAGACGACGGGGAUCCGAGUCCACCGGCCACAGGGUUUCAGCGGCCAAUUCGCUGACGAGGAAGCAUGCGACAGCUCAUUUUGGCAACCGGAAAGUACCGUGCGAACUAGAUCCGGCUCCGAUCGGCAAGAACGCAUCCGCCUGGAUAGAGGAAAUGUUCCAGGCCAUGAUCCGAGGUGAUGACCGAAAGUGGCAAACAGUUUGUAGCGUACCUGUCCAUGAAGGAACGCGUGAGAAGUGCGUCACGACCUGGUCGAAGAAACGCUUUCCGAGGACGACAAGGAGUACCAAUACUACAGCCUUCAACAAUCUUAUUUAAGGACACAUGACUAACUAGUUCUAACUACUAACAAUUCUAUCCCUUUCACAGAAGACAAAUUCUCCGCCGACCAGACGCCUGCUCCAUCCUAGUGGAACUCGCACAUCACCGACUCCCUGCCCGCCGCCAAGAACAGCUUCCAGACCACGCACGGUCUCGUCCAGACGCAUCCGUCCUUUGGAAAGACCGGCCCAUCAGCCCUCCCACUAACCGUGGGACCACGAGCAAGCAGCAGUCCACAGUUGGCCAGCGGGAUCCCAUCGAUCGCCAACCCGAACUCCCGGUCACCGUUCCGUCAGCCGUACUUUAGCACCAGUGAUACCCCGAACUCCGCCGCAAUCCCAGCUUGUGCGCCCGGACGAGUGUGCCCGAGCAGGCCGCGAAGGAAAACCACCGAGGAUCGGCUACUAUCAAUUUACCGUCGAGGACUACACCGUGCUGGAAGCUGCAGGCAGGCCGAGGAGGUCGGUCGGAGCGAUCAAAGCGAUUUGAUUCCAAGCUGGUGGACACGUACUUCGAUGAUGUUGGUGGAAUGGCCAAAAUUUUGCGCGAGUUUUUGCUGCACGUGAAGCACUCGGAGUGCCGCCUCCGCGUGGAUUUGUGCUCGGGGCAGACGUUGCUUGCGCACGCUAUCGCUAGUCAGCUUAAGAUUGGACUGGCCACAAAGUUGGUCGCGGAGGUUUCCAGCGAGUUGUAGCCAGGUAUCCGGGAGGUGUUCAAGCAGGCAGCGAUCCUCUCGCCGUGCCUACUUUUCAUCGACGAGAACAACGCCAUAUCGGCGAACCACGUCACCGCGCAGGAGGACAUUGAACUAAGAGUCGUUGCCCAGCUGCUAAGUAGCUUGCACGGCGCAAAUCGAAAGCGGUGACGAGGUGCCACCAACUGGCGGGAUGCGCUUGAACCGGCCCUGCGUCGCGUCGGUCGCUUUGACUAGAAAAUCUCGCUCGGAAUUCAGAAGCGCGAAGCGCGCUCAGAUUCGCGAACGCCAACAGCUGCUGGUCGAGCGUCGCAAGACGGAUCAGGAUCGACUCAAGCAACUUGCCAAGAAGGUCGUCAUCGAUGACAAAGUCAGCGACGGAAUCGGCGAGCCAGCAUCAGUCCACAGUUGGUCAGCGGAUUUCCAUCAAUCGCAAACCCGAACCCUCGGUCACCGUUCCGUCAUCUGGAUUUCAGCACCAGUGUCACCGCCGAACUCCGCAGCAAUCCCAGCCUGUCCGCCCGGACGAGAGUGCCUGAGCUUGCCGUCGAGUACUACACCGUCCUGAGAGCGCAGGCAAAGGGGGCCACAAGGUUGGUCGCGGGGGUUUCCGGCAAGUCGGAACAACGCAUCCAGGACAUCCAGGAGGUGUUCAAUCAGGCAGCGGUCCUCUCGCCGUGCCUACUCUUCUUCGACGAUAUCAACGCCAUCUCGGCGAACCGCGUCACCGCGCAGAAGGACAUGGAACGACGAAUCGUUGCGCAGCUGCUAUGCAGCUUGGACGGCCUUUGCGAAUCGAAGAAGGUGACAAGGUGCUCCCAACCGGCGGGAUGCGCUCGACCCGGCCCUGCGUCGCUCCGGUAACUUUGAACAGGAAAUCUGGCUCGAAACUCCGGAGCGCGAAGCGCGCGUUUGGAUUCUGAAAAUCACCAAACUCGAGCAGACAAUCGACUACGACGAACUCGCCGGUUACGUCGGAGCAGCUCUGCUGGCGCUGGUCACCCGCACGGCCGCGAACGCUAACAGCUGCUGGUCGAGGCCAUUCGCGAGCCUUACCUGGAAAUCCUGCAUCGCAAAGCAGAGCAGGAAUUACUCAAGCAACUUGUUACGAAGGUCGUCGACGAUGACGAAGUCAUGGAGGGGAGGAAUCAGUCAAGAGUAUGCUCAACGGAUGAUGACGUGGUUACGCUGGAUGAUGACGUUGAGGAGGUUGUGAACCUGACAAAGAGGAAGAAAAAUCUUCCAAAGCAGAGAAGACAACCG